AUUUUAUGAAAAUCUAAGCUGGAGAUUCUAUUCAUUCAACACAUACAACACCUCUGGCAAGAGUGACAGACAUUAGGUUCCCACACCUAUCGGAUCUCUUUAAAGGACUGGACAGACAUUAGGUUGCCACACGUAUUGGAUCUCUUUAAAGGACUGGACAGACAUUAGGUUGCCACACCUAUCGGAUCUCUUUAAAGGACUGGACAGACAUUAGGUUGCCACACGUAUUGGAUCUCUUUAAAGGACUGGACAGACAUUAGGUUGCCACACCUAUUGGAUCUCUUUAAAGGACUGGACAGACAUUAGGUUGCCACACCUAUUGGAUCUCUUUAAAGGACUGGACAGACAUUAGGUUGCCACACCUAUUGGAUCUCUUUAAAGGACUGGAAGGAUUAAAUAUGACCUAAGCUCUGAAAAAUGGGUCUUAAUACAUGAGCCCAGAUCAGCCUGUGCAGCGUCUACUUAACACUUAGCUCACAUGCAUUAAGCCUCCUUUUUCGUAGCGUAACACACAAUACAAGACACAAUACAAGUACAUUUAAUGAGUCUCAUGCGAAUGGUUUUCAA